CUUCAUCCUGCAGGGUCAGCUGUGACCUUGGCCCGGCCUGCCGCCUGGCCAACCAGAUCUGUAAAACCAGAGGGUAUUUUCUCUCCCAGGGCGAUAUUUACCCAGGGAUUCCCUUGGCAAGAGUUGGGACAUUUUUCCGGAAGAGGAGCCCGGUGAAAUAUUUAAUAAAUAAAAUCCAUUAAGAAGACCAUGUUGACGAGAUCUUCUCAAAUUUCCUCCAGGGUAUAUAAACAUGUACCACCCAUAAUGGACAGAUGUCAUGGCUGGAGAGCAUAUAUGU
rnacentral:lncRNA from 1 species